rnacentral:rRNA from 1 species
GUCGAGAAUCUUCCGCAAUGGGCGCAAGCCUGACGGAGCAAUGCCGCGUGAGGGAUGAAGGCCUUCGGGUUGUAAACCUCUGUCAGAGGGGACGAAGAAUGUGACGGUACCCUCAGAGGAAGCCACGGCUAACUACGUGCCAGCAGCCGCGGUAAUACGUAGGUGGCGAGCGUUAUUCGGAUUCACUGGGCGUAAAGGGUCCGUAGGGGGUCUGCCAAGUCCGAUGUGAAAGCCCACGGCUCAACUGUGGAACGGCAUUGGAUACUGGCGGGCUGGAGUCUGCGAGGGGUGAGCGGAAUUCCUGGUGUAGCGGUGGAAUGCGUAGAUAUCAGGAAGAACACCGAUGGCGAAGGCGGCUCACUGGCGCAGUACUGACCCUGAGGGACGAAAGCGUGGGUAGCAAACAGGAUUAGAAACCCCAGUAGUCC